CUUCUCCCCACGAGGAAUCGUCGCUCAGGGAUCUUCGGAGGAUACUUCACCUUUUUGCUGUCGUGGGCUAGUCGUAGUGUCAUUGUAUUAUUGCAUGCGUUCCAGGUUUAUUUUUUUAAAUUACAGUUCGUUCUUAUUUCUGUUUACAGUACAUAGAAGAUGAGCGCCACCUGUGGGACUUCGACUGCACUCCAUAAGGACAAAGAAGAUGAUGAGCGCCACCGGUGGGACUUCGACUGCACUCCUUAAGGUAUGUAAUCUUUUUCUUUUUGGAAGUGGAGUUUAAGAAAU